GGGGAUGUAGCUCAGUGGUAGAGCACUUGCCUAACAUGUGAGGCCCUGGGCUUCAUCCCCA
rnacentral:tRNA from 1 species